rnacentral:lncRNA from 1 species
UUCAAUUUCAAUCACUAAAGCAUCUUUAACUAUAAUUCUCUGUGAUUUAACUUACGCUAUAUCACAUAGAAUAAGAAAUGAUGCAAAAUCAACCUGGUACUUAUUGGACAAGCAGAUUUCAAGUUUUUCAGAAUUCUAGCUUUUUCUCGUGAGUCCCAUAUUUUAUUUUCACAUUUUAUAUGCUCCCUUUUGUUUAAUUUGAUUUCUUUCCGUUUUCAUUGUUUGUUUCUGUAAGAUUGAGACUUUAGAGGUUUUGGGGUUUGAAAAUCUAUUUUUGAUCAAAUUCCCAAACACCCUUUUGUUUAAUCUGAUUGAAUCAGUUUUAUAGUUUAAUUUGUGGAAGAUUGCUCAUUGAUGAUUCAUUUUGCUUUAACCACACUGAAAGACAGACUUGGGAGAUUUUGGGUGUUUAAAAAAUCUUCCUUUUCUUUAAUUCAAAGAAGACCGCUGUUUGUUUUGUUUGAUGGCUGCUUGAUGAUUCUCUUUUCUAUGAGAGUGGAGGUUGUUUUAUAAUCUCUCUUUUUAUAGAGGAAAGAAGAGGACUUUUGUCAAGCAUUACAAACAAGUUUUUCUUUGGCUUAAACAAAAUGAGGAUUGUCCCUUCUCUUGAGUCUCUCAUGUGGACAACUUUGGCCUUUAUCUGAGAGCGAUCGAUUCUUUUAAUAGUUUUUGGUUCUUAAAUUCGGUGGAUUCAUAAACAGUGUUUGUGGUUUUUGAAAAAUUGAUGCAUAUUAAAGCGUAGCUCUUGAAAUUUAUCUUCAUGCAAUUUAUGAGCAAGUUUCAUCUUCUAAGUUCUUAUGAGCAAGUCUCUGAAAAGUCAUAUUCAAGUUUAGUUUUUGCAUUAAAAAGCAUCAGAUUAAGCAACCAGUUUUAUUUACAUUUGCAGAAAGUUUUUGAAUGAGAUCAGUUUGCUUUUUAAAAGAACAAGUGAAGACAUAAUUUGCUUGAAUUAAUUUCAAUAAUGUAGAGUUCUUCAUAUAAAUGAAAUCAAGUGCUCAAUUCGUUGCCCAAAAUGUUUUUCUCUGCUCCAAACUUUUACCCCUGCUUUUGUGGAAGUUAGAUCGCCAGUGAUCAUAAAUUGAUGUGCCUUUGUGAUGCAUACAGGAAGUGUUUUUCAUUUGUGAUGCCUUUAACUGGGUUUUGAAGGCUAAAAUAAGCUGUAUUUUAUACUGACCAUUCAACUGAUUUGAUUUUUUAGCUACUUCAUAAUAAGUUCAUUGUUUGACAAUGGAAAGCUUUCGUAAAGUAUUUAUUAGCUACAUGUAUAUCUAAUGUCUCCAUCAAAAACCUAAUGUAGAUGCAUAAGCCCCUUUACCUUUAUAGGGUUUCAGCUCUUUGUAUUCUCUCUUCUGUUGUUGAUUCAUCAAUCAAGGAGAAGGCGUUGGUGCUGUAGAUGGAGGACCUGAGAACAGGGUGGAAAAGAACUUUUCUGCC